GAUGAACGCUAGCUACAGGCUUAACACAUGCAAGUCGAGGGGAAACGACAUCGAAAGCUUGCUUUUGAUGGGCGUCGACCGGCGCACGGGUGAGUAACGCGUAUCCAACCUGCCCACCACUUGGGGAUAACCUUGCGAAAGUAAGACUAAUACCCAAUGAUAUCUCUAGAAGACAUCUGAAAGAGAUUAAAGAUUUAUCGGUGAUGGAUGGGGAUGCGUCUGAUUAGCUUGUUGGCGGGGUAACGGCCCACCAAGGCUACGAUCAGUAGGGGUUCUGAGAGGAAGGUCCCCCACAUUGGAACUGAGACACGGUCCAAACUCCUACGGGAGGCAGCAGUGAGGAAUAUUGGUCAAUGGACGGGAGUCUGAACCAGCCAAGUAGCGUGCAGGAUGACGGCCCUAUGGGUUGUAAACUGCUUUUAUAAGGGAAUAAAGUGAGUCUCGUGAGACUUUUUGCAUGUACCUUAUGAAUAAGGACCGGCUAAUUCCGUGCCAGCAGCCGCCGCAG
rnacentral:rRNA from 1 species